rnacentral:lncRNA from 1 species
GAUACACGACCCAAACCAUUAUUCUUUUCUAUUCAUUUUCUAUUCAUUAUUCUUUUUAUUACCAAAGCAAAUAACCCUACCAAAUGCAGAUAGCGAAAGAGAUGAAUCCGUUGUUAGGAAUGAUUAAAUCCUAUAAAUGAUUUAAAUGAUUGUUCGGGUAUGUCAUGGAAUUUUUUUGAAAGACAAGAAUCAAAUAAUUUUCUGUGGUGGAACAAAAUAUCUCUCAUCUCCCCCUCGAAUAGAUUCGUUUUUUUUGUUUCCAAAGGAAUGUUGUUAUGUUGUUUUGAAGGGUGCACUAAUCCCUUGAAUCCGGUACCAACGGGUAUCACCCCCCCCAAAACAACGUUCUCUUUCAGGCCUUUCAACCAAUCGAUACGACCCCGGAGAGCCGCUUUUGCUAAAACUCGAGCAGUUUCUUGAAAACUUGCUUCAGAUAUGAAACUUUGAGUAUUGAGAGAUGCUCUUGUUAUUCCCAAUAAGACGACUCGGUAACAGAUCGCUUCUUCCAAAGCGCGCCCCAUUCGUUCUGCUCGCAACAAUCCAAUAAGUUCUCCGGGUGAAAAAACAUUAGACAUUCCAUCUUCUGAAAUCAACACUUUUGAUGUUAUUUGACGUACAAUAAUUUCUAUAUGCCUAUUAUGAAUCUGCACCCCCUGGGAGCGAUAAACCUGUUGGAUUUUAUUAACCAAAGAGAUUCGGCUUUGCGCUAUAGUUAGCUCAGCACCAAUCAAGAAUCCCCAAGGAAUUCCAAGAAUUCUUGGUAUACAUUUGUUCCAAACCUCAACCCUCUUUUCUAGAUUCAUGGAUAUUGAAUCAAUCGAACGCACUUCUAACACCUGUUCUACUUUUGGAAGACCCUGUGUUAUAUCACCAGAUCUCGAUUUUUCAUAUAUAAAUGUAACUAAUGUAUCUCCUUCGUAAAGGGUUUCCCCAUAAUGGCCAUGAACAGUUGCUCCGGGGGUGGCCAAAUAAGGCUUAGCUGAUCGUAUCACUAUCGAGUCAACUUGAACAAGUAUAACUUGACCCGAUUUGAGGGGCGAUCCUUUUUUGGCUAUACAUACAUUUUCACAAAUAAACUGUCCAAGACUAAUUAUUUUAGAUGUCUCUGCACAAUAAUUGUGAUGGAGAAAAAACCAAUUCAAAUUGAAUGGAUUUAAAAUAAUGUUACGGCAUGGAUCGGGAUUAAAAAUUUUUCCAUUUUCAUCCAUUAAAUAAUAUUUCAAUUGAAUCACUUGAAAAGUCUGUUUUAAAUUGUCAAGUUGCAAAUAUUUAGUUACUAAGAUCUGAUUAUGAGUUAUUAAAUGGUAAGAUGAAUAAAAAUUCUCAAUUGGAAGGCAUGUUCCUAAAGGGCCCAAUGAAUUCCUAAUUGGAAUUAGGGGAUCUUUUUUAAUUGAUUCUUUUAUCACACUGUGAUAUUUUACAUCCUUGAAUGGUCCCAUUCGAGAACAAUUGGCUGCUGACAAAAUUAUCAAUGACUGACAUUCCUUAUUUCUAUUCAACAACGUAUGAAUAGUUCCUUGAGGUUGGUUAAGAGAUUGGUGCAUUUUUGCCUUGGAAUAGGAAUAAAUGGCAGAAAAGGGGUUGAUAUUGGUACAAUCUGAUCCAUUAUCAGAGAGCAAUCCUGACCCCGACGGAUCAUUCCUUUUUCCGAUAUACGAAAUAGGGGAUUUCACUAAGUUGAUUCUUAAGAAAUGUCGAAUCAACCCAUUUGUCCUUAUUUCAACAAAAGAAGCACGGGCUUCUUCGCAAGAAGAACUUUUUUUGUCUUGGUUCCAAUUCAAUACUAAACAAGUCCGAACUAAUUGAAUACUUGUGUCAGAAAUUCCUCGAAUCGGUUUGCCAUUUUCAUAAAGGAUAUAAUUGACAAUUCGAAGUUGCACAUUAUCCCUUUCCUGCAAUGGAUCCGGUGGAAAAAGAGUUGCUAAAUUUAUACCGUCCGUUAUUUCAUAUGUGACGACAGGUCGAACUAAAACAAAAAACCUUUUCUUACUAGGUGUAAUUCGUUGGACAUAGAUCCAAUUUUUCACUUUUUUGUAUUCCUUGGAAUUUCUUUUUCCUGUUCCUGGUGGUAUCAAAACGCCGGUAUGUCUGGAUAUCUUAUCUGUCUCUCCAGGAAAAUGGAUAUCUCCAGAAAAGAUUUUCAGUUCAAUUCGUUUUUUUUUUUUCUCCACCCGGACCAACCCACCGACUCGGCUUCUUAGAUUUAAGGUGAUUUGUGUAUCGACCCCAACGAUACUAUUGUUCCGUACCAUUAUGGAAGAAGAUCCGGGCAAGAUAUGCACCUCUUCAGGAAUGAAAAAAAAUCGAUCUACUUUCAUUUGGUAUUUUGGCCUAAAUUCCUUGACUCCUCGAUACUCAAUCAAAUCCUCUUUUUUGAUGACUGAAUGCGUUUCUAUAGUCCCAUAUUUAAUAAUGCCCGAACUCUUUCUUCUGUAUCGAGGAUCAUCGAAAUAAGCAAGAAUACUAUUUCGACGGAAACUACCAUUUACGGGGAUUUCAAUCGAGAUACCUGAACGAGGCAUUAGUUCAUUCUCGAGUUCUUGAAUCGAGUGUAGUGGAAUGAUGAAUUUAUUUCUUCGCCUUUUUGACAAUAAAUCAGAAUUCUCGUGGAGAAUAGGCGAAUAUACGAGAUUAUACUGACCAGUACAUAUGAUUCGAUUAAGGUCUGAAUAAUCAGGAAUCCUAUCGUCUUUUUGACCAUAAAAAUCCGAACUAAACAAUUUCUGCCUCGCCUGAUCAUUGGUUACUGAGAGGUUAGAAGUAUAUCUUCGCUUGCCAGAAGGAGAAUGCGCAUUCAUUUGAUCCUGAUCCUUGUGGAUCGAAAGGUAGACUAGACUGGACCUGCACGGCCUUCCUAAUAAUAUCCAUAAAUGACUUGUUUUUGGUAAUAGAUGAACAUUACCAUAUGUAAAUUGGGGGGCAUGAUAGACAUCGGUACUCCAGUGCAUUUCUCCAUCUGAAUCAGAAUAAAUAUGUUUUCGAACCGUCUCUUUAAAAUUCAAAGUGGAUAUUCCUGCGCGAAUCUCAGCAAUUACUUGUUCUGAUUCUACAUAUUGAUCGUUUUGAACUAAAAGCAAACUUUUGGGUGGAAUAUUCACAGUAUGUAGAAUAUCUUCACUCUCAAUAGUUACAUACAAGUCCAUAGAACAUAGAAAGGCGGGAUGCCCAUGACGUGUACGUGUCGGAUGAACCAAGUCCUCAUUGAAUUUGAUUUUUCCAUUAGAUGGGGCUCGCACAUGUUCUGCAGUACCCCCCGUGAAUACUCCUCCGGUAUGAAAAGUUCUUAAUGUUAAUUGAGUACCCGGUUCUCCAAUCGAUUGACCUGCAAUAAUACCUACAGCUUCCCCCAAUUCAACCAGGUCGCCAUGAGUAGGACUACGGCCAUAACAUAAUCGACAAAUCCAAGAUGUACUCCUACAAGUAAAGGGAGUUCGAAUAGAGAUUGGUUGUGCCCGAAAGGUUAUGAAUCGAUUUACAAGUCCAAUGCCAAUGGCUUGGUUUCUAGUGGCAAUACAUCGCGAACCCAUGUAUAUAUCAUCCGCUAAUACACGGCCAAUUAAUGUUUGACUAAAAAUCCUUUCCGGCAUUAUCCCAUUCCGAGGACUCACAGAAAUACCCCGGGCGGUGCCACAAUCCGUUCGACGUACAACAAUGUGUUGAACUACUUCAACAAGUCUGCGAGUGAGAUAUCCAGCGUCUGAUGUUCGUACAGCAGUAUCCACAACUCCUUUACGGGCUCCGUAGCAAGAAAUGAUGUAUUCUGUUAAAGAGAGUCCUUCGCGUAAAUUGCUUUGAAUAGGUAAAUCAAUCAUUUGUCCUUGAGGAUCCGACAUUAAUCCUCUCAUACCUACUAAUUGAUGUACCUGAGAUGCAUUUCCUCGAGCUCCCGAGAAAGACAUUAUAUGAACUGGAUUAAAAGGAUCAGUCAUCCUAAAAUUCGGAUUCAUUUCUUGGCGCAAAUAUUCACUUGUAGCAUACCAUAUUUCAAUGGAUUGACGUAAUUUUUCUACCGCGUGUACAUUACCAUAAUGAUGGUGUUUUUCCAAAAUCAAACUUUGUUGUUCAGCAUCUUGAACUAGCCAUCCCUUAGAAGGUAUUGUUAAAAGAUCAUCAAUUCCUAAUGAAAUGGAUGUAGCAGUAGCUUGUUGGAACCCCAGAGUUUUUACUUGAUCCAGGAUAUGUGAUGUAUAUGCCAUUCCGAAGUGCUCUAUUAAUCUACUAAUAAGUCGUUUCAUGGCAGUUCCGUCUAUCGCUUUAUUGUGAAAGACCAGAUUGGCCCGUUCUGCCAUAAGUACCUCCAUAUUCCGCUGAGUAGGAUUCGACAAUGGGUUUGAGUCGGUGAUUGUAAAACUUCCUUUUAUCGAUCUUGAUUCGCGUAUAAAUUCCGGAACUAUGGACCUAGCUGAACCGGAGAGCUCCGAAGUCCCACGGUAUCAUAGAAUUAGGUACCAUAUGAAUAGGCCCGAGAAAACCCUUGUAUAGCUUCUUCGAUUUCUCGAUAAAGAGCAAUAUGACCAACAGUGGUUCGAAUGUAUACAAAAAGGAUUUUUUUUUUUAGACUUCUUACUAUUAGAUAGUGUCCAUAAAUCUCAUAAAAAGUACCUAAAGAUUCAUAAUGAACUUCGACGGGAGUUUCUCUUGAAGCAAUAACGCGUUGAUCUAGUCGCCACCGGAGCCACAAAGGACUAUCUAAAUUGAUUCGUUUCUGCCGAUAAGCCCCAAUUGCAUCAUAGGAAUUCGAAAAAAAGGGUUCUUUCGUAUACUUAUAGUAACUAUUGUCACUUCUUUUUUGAUAGUUUCUGCAAUUACAUGGAUUAUAUCUAUUUACACAAAUACCUCGAUGAUUUCCGCUCGUUAAUACAUAGAGUCCAAUAAGCAUAUCUUGCGUGGGUACGGAAAUGGGAUCCCCAAUAGCCGGAGACAAAAGAUUCAUAUGAGAAAACAUAAGUAAACGGGCCUCUACUUGAGCCUCCAAGGAUAAAGGUACAUGAACAGCCAUU